rnacentral:rRNA from 1 species
AGGACGAACGCUGGCGGCGUGCUUAACACAUGCAAGUCGAGCGAGGCCCCACCUUCGGGUGGGUGUCCUAGCGGCGAACGGGUGAGUAGCACGUGGGCAACCUGCCCCUAGCACUGGGAUAACUCCGGGAAACCGGGGCUAAUACCGGAUACGACUUCGGAAGGCAUCUUCUGAAGUGGAAAGGGUUACUGGGCUAGGGAUCGGGGCCCGCGGUCCUAUCAGUCUUGGUUGGUGGGUAACGGCCUACCAAGGCCUCCGACGGGUA